CCUUCUAGGCAUGGGCUGCCUUGGUCAGUUACAGUGAGGUAAAACUGAUCCAGUUUGACAGGAAUGGAGAUGAAAAUACAAUUUAAUUUCCUUUCUGAGCUCUCUUGGGUCCAAGUCUCUGUGCCAACCCUACGGCUGCAUUUUUUUCUGGAUUUAUGUAUUGGGAUUCUAGUCUGAUAGGAGAUGUGAAUGUAACAUUUAAGCUAUAAACUUAGUGUGGAGCUGAGUGUGGGGGGGGGGGGGCAGUGUGAGAGUUUGCUUGGAGAAAGGAUGACAGUCCUAGAGGGGUGAAUCAGUCUCAGAUUUAUUUUCGCUGUUGUAUGUCGUGAAAUUUAUGGUACCAAUACAUAAAAUUACUACUUUAAUGAUAAAUUGACAAUUUUUUAAAAAAAAAGUAGCGCUAAAGAGGGAUGGCAAUGUCUAAUUAUUAUCUAUCCAUCAUUGUUGGAUCGAAAUCUUGUAUCUCUGCACAAUAAUGUUAUGUGAUUAUCUUCAGGCUGUUAUUGUGAACAAUGCCACUUGAUAUCAUGAUCAAUGAUACCUUCUUUCACGUAGUUGACUGAUGGUGGACUGAUUCAGUAGUAAUUAAUUUGUUUGGAUUUGCCCUGCUUUUUAUGAAUAGGGCAUACCUAGGCAAUUUUUGACACGGCUAGGCAGAUGCGCAUGUUAUAUCCAGUCCUUAAUUUCAUUACAACUCAUUUCAGCUCAUUCCCUUUCAUCUGCAACCAUUCUUGAUGAGGGGUCUUGACCUGAGAUGUUGACUGUCCAUUUCCGUCUCUAGUACUUUCUUUGUUGUAUUCUGACUUUGGUCGGAAAAGUGGCUAGUUUUGGAGCAUAAAUGUCCACCACUUUGAGACAUUGUCUGACCCCUUUCUGAAUGGAAACAUUUUUUGAUUGCACAUAGAGCGAAUCAGUUAGGCUUUUUUAUUGUUCAGGAUCUUAGUAGGAAGCUGUGAUAGGUAAUCAUUUGCUCUUUUGGCUGAUCGUGACUGGGAUGAGAGGGAGCAGCUAAAGAAGUUAGAUCUUUUUUGGAAUUCAGAAGAAAGAGGUGAUCUUACUGAAACAUGUAGAUCUUGAGGAUGCAUGAUAGGAUAAAUGUCAAGAUAUUUCUGCAGUGAGGGGACCUAGAAUGAGUGGACUUUGUUCCAAAAUUGGGGUGGAGGAUGAGAAUUUAAAACAUUUUUAAAUAUGAUUUUAGCCUAGUAAUCUCUUGGGUAGGGACAUUUUCGGCACAAGUUUGUGGACAGAAGAGCCUGUAUUGUGCUGUAGGUUUUCUAUGUUUCUAUGAUUUUGUUGUACCAAAUGGUAAACCUGGAUUUUUCUGUUUAGGAGGGUUUUGGAGGACAGAGCAUAGGGGGUAUUUAAAGAGAUGUGAAAUAAAUUGAUCAAAGGUCAAGGAACGGGGAGGGGUCGGCGCUAAAGGGAAUGUGCACAGAACAAGAGAAGAAGAGAAGAAAUGUGGGUCAGAUCAAUCGUAAUCGUACCGAGUGGUGGGCAAGUGGCCCACUCCUCUUUUCUUGCAUUCUAAUGGCAGUAAAGCUUCAGCCUUAGUUCUAUUAUCAUCGAGGGUGGGAAUGUUUUUGGAGCCAUGUACUCCCAUUAGUUGAUUCAUUCCUCACCUGUAACUAAGUGUGGCAACAUUGCAGAGAACUGCCAAGGAAUACAAGGUUUCUGGAAAUUCUGAUGGAUGGGGCCAGCAAUCUAUCUCAUAACCAUUUAAAGUUGGGCAUAGAAAAGGAAAGAGUACAUGAAGAGCAAUUUGAGUUGUAGUGAAAUGAAGAGAGGAAAAUAAAAGACAAAGCAAAAGUGGAAAAAAAUAUCUUUGUAAGCCUCCAGGUUUUAUUUGCAGGAGUGAAAGUGCGUUAUUUCCUGUUACUGGGCCCAGCCACAGUUAGUUAGAUAAGUCACAUGUAAGUGAUAAUUUACAGAGUGACAUAACAGUCCAAAGCUUUGGGUUUAACGUGUAUUGGUAACAAAGUACACAGAAGCUGAGCUUUUGUUUUCAAAGUGCUGACGGUGGUGCAUCCCCCGUCACCCAGGUGACUUUUGAACCCUCCGUCCCCAGGAGGAGCUCUGAUCUCUCACUGAUUAAUACCCUGUGUGAUUGUGACAGAGAGGUUGGCCAUGCUUGCAGCCCUCGACUCGGUUGAUCACACCAUCACCACCAGAGGCUGUCUGUGUGAGACCGGGUCGAGAAGCUGUCCCAGUGCCAUUCUUGGGUUUCCCAUUACAGGCAGAGAACCGCCAGCAAUGGAUUAUUUUCUGUGUACCGCUUAUGGUAAAAUUAUCUUAAAGCACAGCGCCGGCUUCCACAUGUACACUGGCUAAACUCAGCUCUUACUGCACCCCCUCUCCACCUUUUGUCACCUCACUAUCUCUUAAAUUGUCAAACUCCUUGCCAGUAGUAGUGGCUGUGGAGAAUUUCCUUUGUCCAAGUAAUAGGCAGACUAAAUCCAAGUGUUUGUUCCCUUCACAUAUUUUGUUUCUGAGUUUUAAAGCUUCAGUAACAUGCUAAUAUUAAGACUACUUACUGUAUUUCCAGUUCUGUAAUAUUGCCCAUUUCUUAACUGUCUCAACUCUUCUUCUGCUGAGAGUCUCGUACAUACCUUUGUACACUUGGCUAUCCCAAUCCAUUCUUUCUAGUGUAACUCACACAAAAUGCUGGAGGGAUUCAGCGAGUCGGGCAGCAUCUAUGGAGGGAAAUAAACAGUCAAUAUUUUGGGACGAGAGCCUGCAUCAGGACUGGAAAAGAAGGGGGCAGAACCCAGAGUAAGAAGAUUGGGAAAGAGAAGGAGGAAGAAAGGAGAAAUUACUGGCAGUUGGAGAAAUCGAUGUUCAUAUCAUCAGGUUGUAGGCUACCCAGACAGGGUAUAAGGUGUUGUUCCUCCAGUCCGAGUGUGGCCUCAUUAUGGCAGUCAAGGAGGUCUGAAAAGCAAUGGGGUCAAAUUGAAAUGGGUAGAUGCAGCGAGAUCCAGCCACUUUCGGCGGACAGAGCAAAGAUUCUCAACCCGGUGGUCCCCCAGUUUGCACCAGAGGGGGCCACACCAGGAGCACUGGGAAGUAGGUGACCCCAGUGUGGUGAACUAUGUGCCUGUCUGGACACGCCCCCUGCUGACUGCUCCUGUGGCUCCUCCCACAGGCCCCUGUAUAAAGGCGAUCUGAGGCCUGACGCUCGGCCUCAGUCUCCAGGACAUAGUAUGAUGGACACUCACUCCUGGUUCCUUCUUCCAGUCAAUAAAAGCCGAUAUCUCACCUUACGUCUCAGAGUGAGUUAUUGAUGGUGCAUCAAUUUUAUUGACUGGAAGUUUUAAAACAUGGAAACCGUUUUGCGUCUGGACCGGUUGGAUUUGGACCCUCAAGACCCUGACGCAGCUCUCGCUUUUGAACUCUGGCUUGCAUGCUUCCAAUCGUACUUGGAGGAGGUUCGUGCAACUGAACCCGCUGUUAUGCACAGAAUCCUACUCUCGAGGGUCACCCCCAAAGUUUACUCCAUUAUCCGGGACCUGCCGACCUACGAUGGGGCACUGGACGCCCUCAAAAGACAGUACCUGCGGCCGGUGAACACCGUCUACGCAAGACAUCGUUUAGCUACCCGGCAACAGCGGCCUGGCGAAUCGUGCGCUGAGUUUCUCCGAGCACUACAGACACUCGUCCGAGCUUGUGACUGCAAGACGCUCACGGCAGAACAGCAUGCGGAGCUGCUGGUGCGAGACGCCUUUGUGACGGGACUGAGGUCAGUGUACAUACGCCAGCGUCUGCUGGAAAAUGCCGACCUUACCUUACGCUCGGCGAUCGAGAAGGCCAACGCUCUGGAAGCUGCUUUACAUAAUGCUGACGCUGUCCAGUCGCGCGAUUCCCCACCGGUUCCAUGGACACCUCAGACCCCGCCACCGCCGGCUCCUGGGAGCGAAUUCGCCAACGCCGCUGCCAGUCGCGAUUCCACGAGCUCCCCGAACCCGACCACAGCGGCAGCCCGUCAGAUGCCUGUGCUUUGUUAUUUCUGUGGCCAAAAAAACACCCUCGACAACGCUGUCCAGCGCGAGAAGCGACCUGCUCCAGCUGCGGAAAGUGGGGCCAUUUCGCCAAGGUCUGUAAGUCUCAACCUCGAGCGGAGUGCAGCGCUGCAGGUGAGACGUGGGGGCCGCCAUCUUGCAUGCCCGGAUGUGGGCAGCCAACUUUGUCGGCGUCAGCACGCCCCGCCCCCGACCCUCCGAUGCUUACCGGGUACCAAGACGGCGAUUCAACUCUGGCCACUGUAACCCUCGACCAAAGCGCCCCACACCAGCUUGCAAGGUCCAUGAUGGACAUCCGGGUGGAGGGGCACCGGACUAGAUGCCUGUUUGACACGGGCAGCACUGCAACGUGCAACACUGCGGACUUGCAACGCGGCCGAGGGAAAUGGACCGGAUGGUGGACCAGUACCAACUGCAGGCCACAUUUCCCUAUCUGGAUAACAUCACCAUCUGUGGUCACGACAGGCCAGAUCACGACGCCAACCUCCAACGAUUUCUCCAAGUGGCCGCAGCUCUGAACCUUACUUAUAACAGGGACAAGUGUGUGUUUGGAACCACCCGCCUUGCUAUACUUGGGAAGUCUGUCACUGGGACCACCCUACCAGUUUGGCUGAUGUCCCCGGGGCCAGUGCUGCUCCGGAAACGUGAGGAGCAAUAAAUACUCCCCGCUGGUAGAGAGGGUUCACCUUCUACAUGCGAACCCCCAGUAUGCUUACGUGGUCUUACCUGAUGGGCGGGAGGACACGGUCUCCAUCCGCGACCUGGCACCCGCAGGUGCAGCAGACCACUACCCUGAAGGCUCUCCGGUAACUAUGAACCCUGCACCAGAGGUGACACCGUACUCACCAGGCCCUACACAGACUCCUCACGACACUUGUAUACCGGGCGUUUCGUACGCAUUUAUACCAGGCGCCUCGCACAUGCGUGAGGGAUCACCAGCGCCUAGUGGGCAGGAACAAGCGCAACCUCUGUCCCCUGUGCAAUCACCAAUGUCGCCGGCAUCCAUGCGAUCACAGCCGGUGCUAUGUAGAUCGCAGCGACAGAUUCGACCACCUGAUAGACUUGACUUGUAAGAAACUUCGCCACAUGGGGACUCUUUCAAACAAAGGGGGGGUGAAUGUGGUGAACUAUGUGCCUGUCUGGACACGCCCCCUGCUGACUGCUCCUGUGGCUCCUCCCACAGGCCCCUGUAUAAAGGCGAUCUGAGGCCUGACGCUCGGCCUCAGUCUCCAGGACAUAGUAUGAUGGACACUCACUCCUGGUUCCUUCUUCCAGUCAAUAAAAGCCGAUA